rnacentral:sRNA from 1 species
GGAGAAGAAGGGCAGGACGCUGGCGGGCUCCUGCGGGAGUGGUAUAUGAUCAUCUCUCGAGAGAUGUUUAACCCUAUGUAUGCCUUGUUCCGUACCUCACCUGGUGAUCGAGUCACCUACACCAUCAAUCCAUCUUCCCACUGCAACCCCAACCACCUCAGCUACUUCAAGUUUGUCGGACGCAUUGUGGCCAAAGCUGUAUAUGACAACCGUCUUCUGGAGUGCUACUUUACUCGAUCCUUUUACAAACACAUCUUGGGCAAGUCAGUCAGAUAUACAGAUAUGGAGAGUGAAGAUUACCACUUCUACCAAGGUCUGGUUUAUCUGCUGGAAAAUGAUGUCUCCACACUAGGCUAUGACCUCACCUUCAGCACUGAGGUAGGUCAGGAAAUCCUAAUCACAGCACAUCCCAGCCAAUCUGGAAGAUCCAUUCCAGGUUCACCUUAGAACUAGCACUGCGUGACCUUCUCAUAGUUCUAAGGAAGCAUCUUGACUUCUUAAAGCUGUAGCAGGUGUUUGUGAGUGACAUCACAAACAGGAAAACCAGAAUUUGCAGGCCAUUUCCUAGUUUCACCUUUAUAAAAAAAAAAAA